rnacentral:lncRNA from 9 species
GACAGAAAUGCUAUAAAAUUGGGUUGUGAUGAUCAUUGUACAACUAUAAAUGUAAUAAAAUUCAUUGAGUAAUUAAAAAAAAAUUCAAGGUAAUAGCUAUUUCUGUAGGGAAAGCAGGGAAAUGGAUGAGGAAAAAGCCCACAGUAUUAGUCAUGCUCUCAUUUUUAAGUUGGGUUCAAAGGUGUUCAUUAUUGUGCUUCAUAUCCAGUGUGGCCAUAGAUCUGGUGUUUCCAGGACAGUUCUGAUUUAUACCUGUUGUCCCACAUAAUUCACUGCAAUCCCUUUCUUUCCUAGAAAGUUCUGAUUUGGAUAAUAAAGUAUAUGACUAGCCUAAAAAAAAAAACAAUCAAGUGCUCUGGGAAGAUGUGAUAGAAUGUUGUGACACGUUUAAGUCUGGAUACAAGAUGGUUGACAUCCUUAUCUAUGUCAGUAAGAGGGUGAGGAAUCACACAGACAAGUAAUGUGAUCAGCAAGAGAUGGUCAACUAAGCAGAACAGUGGGUUGGGGGAAGGAUAUGGUCCUGAAGCCAAGAAGCAUCAAGAUGGUGACUUACACUUAACCAUUUGCUCACAAUGACUGCCUACAGUAAGCAGACACUCAUCUUCUCUGAAAACAGUGCUGCUCACUUUGAAGCCGACCAAGACCUAAUUCAGCCAUGUUGAUGCUCUACGGAGUUAUGCCUUCUUCUGGGCUAGAGAUGAUUGAAUCAGAAGUGGACACCCACCUGACUUUAACCUCCUCCCCUUUGUGGGCUAUACCUAAGCUGCUGAUAUGUCAAGAAUGGCUACCCCUGCCAGCUGCCUUCUUCCUUCUGCAGUCAGAGGAAGCUGCAUUUUUCCAGUUCCCUGGAGAAUCUGAGCUCCCGCUCAUCAGCAAAUCCUUACCUUGCUUCUAUCUGCCAGAAUUGGUUUCUGUGGUUUGAAAUCAACAGCCUGGACCAAUCCAGGAAGUCACUCCAUGAAAGCAUAACUGCAUCUCCCAAACACCUAUC